rnacentral:rRNA from 1 species
GACGAACGCUGGCGGCGUGCUUAACACAUGCAAGUCGAACGGAAAGGCCCUGCUUUUGUGGGGUGCUCGAGUGGCGAACGGGUGAGUAACACGUGAGUAACCUGCCCUUGACUUUGGGAUAACUUCAGGAAACUGGGGCUAAUACCGGAUAGGAGCUCCUGCUGCAUGGUGGGGGUUGGAAAGUUUCGGCGGUUGGGGAUGGACUCGCGGCUUAUCAGCUUGUUGGUGGGGUAGUGGCUUACCAAGGCUUUGACGGGUAGCCGGCCUGAGAGGGUGACCGGCAACAUUGGGACUGGGAUACGGCCCAGACUCCUACGGGAGGCAGCAGUGGGGAAUAUUGCACAAGGGGCGGAGGCCUGAUGCAGCAACGCCGCGUGGGGGAGGACGGCCUUCGGGUUGUAAACCGCUUUCGCCUGUGACGAAGCGUGAGUGACGGUAAUGGGUAAAGAAGCACCGGCUAACUACGU